AUUGAACGCUGGCGGCAGGCCUAACACAUGCAAGUCGGACGGUAGCACAGAGAGCUUGCUCUCGGGUGACGAGUGGCGGACGGGUGAGUAAUGUCUGGGGAUCUGCCCGAUAGAGGGGGAUAACCACUGGAAACGGUGGCUAAUACCGCAUAACGUCGCAAGACCAAAGAGGGGGACCUUCGGGCCUCUCACUAUCGGAUGAACCCAGAUGGGAUUAGCUAGUAGGCGGGGUAACGGCCCACCUAGGCGACGAUCCCUAGCUGGUCUGAGAGGAUGCCCAGGCACACUGGAACGGAGACACGGUCCAGACUCCUACGGGAGGCAGCAGUGGGGAAUAUUGCACAAUGGGCGCAAGCCUGAUGCAGCCAUGCCGCGUGUAUGAAGAAGGCCUUCGGGUUGUAAAGUACUUUCAGCGGGGAGGAAGGCGAUGUGGUUAAUAACCGUAUCGAUUGACGUUACCCGCAGAAGAAGCACCGGCUAACUCCGUGCCAGCAGCCGCAGUAA
rnacentral:rRNA from 1 species